rnacentral:misc_RNA from 1 species
GUGAAAUCUUCCUUUUUGUUCUUCAUGCUAACCACUUGGUUGUGUUUUGGGGGUGGAAAAUUAGAUUUCUGAAAAUGGUUUGUCUAGGGCAGAAGCACAUUGGAUGCUUUAAUUUGUUGAUCUCCAGGACAAGCAUGCACAAACCAAUGCUAGGUUUAAGAAUUAAAAACUUCCUUAUCAAAACCGAUGCACAAACCAAUGUUGGAUGUUAUGAUUAGGUGCUGUUUUGAUCUUUGAGCCCCCCUUCCACAACCUUAUACCAAAACUAGUUUAAGUAGGGUUUUACAUCGCAUCACAAAACCUAGCCUUUUGGCUCUUCCUUUAUUAUGAGAUUUCAUAUACCCUAUAUACAUGAUUUGCUUUUUUGGUGAUAUAAAGGAUAGGUUUUGCUUGCUGCUGAGUAUCAAUUGACUUGUCUUUAUCCGUGGGAUGAAAAGGUCAGUCACAGGCAGAGUCCAUUCUAGUUUUGCCUCUUCUUCUCUCUUCAAAUUUUAAGGGGAGAGCAAUUCAACUUGGCAUUCUUUUAUUUAUUUAUUUUUUGCAAUAAUUGAAAUUAUUGGUUUUUGUAUGGUAGUCAUCGUCUACUUGCCGUAGUGAAUUUUAUCACAUGUUAGAAUUUUGAUGUCUGAAUUAAAUUAUUUCCAUUUUAUUCCAGUUAUUGCUUAUUGAAUGUAAAGAUAAAGAGGCUGUCCAUGAACUUGAGAGGUUCUGUGGCAUUUCAAAUGCAUCACUUCCUAUUAGGUUUUUA